GAUGAACGCUGGCGGCGUGCCUAAUACAUGCAAGUCGAGCGAACGGACGAGAAGCUUGCUUCUCUGAUGUUAGCGGCGGACGGGUGAGUAACACGUGGAUAACCUACCUAUAAGACUGGGAUAACUUCGGGAAACCGGAGCUAAUACCGGAUGAUAUUUUGAACCGCAUGGUUCAAAAGUGAAAGACGGUCUUGCUGUCACUUAUAGAUGGAUCCGCGCUGCAUUAGCUAGUUGGUAAGGUAACGGCUUACCAAGGCAACGAUGCAUAGCCGACCUGAGAGGGUGAUCGGCCACACUGGAACUGAGACACGGUCCAGACUCCUACGGGAGGCAGCAGUAGGGAAUCUUCCGCAAUGGGCGAAAGCCUGACGGAGCAACGCCGCGUGAGUGAUGAAGGUCUUCGGAUCGUAAAGCUCUGUUAUUAGGGAAGAACAUAUGUGUAAGUAACUGUGCACAUCUUGACGGUACCUAAUCAGAAAGCCACGGCUAACUACGUG
rnacentral:rRNA from 1 species